rnacentral:rRNA from 1 species
UACGGGGGGAGCAAGCGUUGUUCGGAUUUACUGGGCGUAAAGGGCGCGUAGGCGGUCGUGACAAGUCACUUGUGAAAUCUCCGGGCUUAACUCGGAAAGGUCAAGUGAUACUGUCGGACUAGAGUACAGAAGGGGCAACUGGAAUUCUCGGUGUAGCGGUGAAAUGCGUAGAUAUCGAGAGGAACACCUGCGGCGAAGGCGGGUUGCUGGGCUGAUACUGACGCUGAGGAGCGAAAGCGUGGGGAGCGAACAGG